CCCCCAACCUAUCCUCUAAUGCUAGUCGACGCGCAGCGAGAGGUGCUUGCACCUUUCAAGCGAGUGGCGAACGGGUGAGUAACACGUGGAUAACCUGCCUCAAGGCUGGGGAUAACAUUUGGAAACAGAUGCUAAUACCGAAUAAAACUUAGUAUCGCAUGAUAUAAAGUUAAAAGGCGCUACGGCGUCACCUAGAGAUGGAUCCGCGGUGCAUUAGUUAGUUGGUGGGGUAAAGGCUUACCAAGACAAUGAUGCAUAGCCGAGUUGAGAGACUGAUCGGCCACAUUGGGACUGAGACACGGCCCAAACUCCUACGGGAGGCUGCAGUAGGGAAUCUUCCACAAUGGGCGCAAGCCUGAUGGAGCAACGCCGCGUGUGUGAUGAAGGCUUUCGGGUCGUAAAGCACUGUUGUAUGGGAAGAAAUGCUAAAAUAGGGAAUGAUUUUAGUUUGACGGUACCAUACCAGAAAGGGACGGCUAAAUACGUGCCAGCAGCCGCGGUAAUACGUAUGUCCCGAGCGUUAUCCGGAUUUAUUGGGCGUAAAGCGAGCGCAGACGGUUGAUUAAGUCUGAUGUGAAAGCCCGGAGCUCAACUCCGGAAUGGCAUUGGAAACUGGUUAACUUGAGUGUUGUAGAGGUAAGUGGAACUCCAUGUGUAGCGGUGGAAUGCGUAGAUAUAUGGAAGAACACCAGUGGCGAAAGCGGCUUACUGGACAACAACUGACGUUGAGGCUCGAAAGUGUGGGUAGCAAACAGGAUUAGAUACCCUGGUAGUCCACACCGUAAACGAUGAAUACUAGGUGUUAGGAGGUUUCCGCCUCUUAGUGCCGAAGCUAACGCAUUAAGUAUUCCGCCUGGGGAGUACGACCGCAAGGUUGAAACUCAAAGGAAUUGACGGGGACCCGCACAAGCGGUGGAGCAUGUGGUUUAAUUCGAAGCAACGCGAAGAACCUUACCAGGUCUUGACAUCCUUUGAAGCUUUUAGAGAUAGAAGUGUUCUCUUCGGAGACAAAGUGACAGGUGGUGCAUGGUCGUCGUCAGCUCGUGUCGUGAGAUGUUGGGUUAAGUCCCGCAACGAGCGCAACCCUUAUUGUUAGUUGCCAGCAUUCAGUUGGGCACUCUAGCGAGACUGCCGGUGACAAACCGGAGGAAGGCGGGGACGACGUCAGAUCAUCAUGCCCCUUAUGACCUGGGCUACACACGUGCUACAAUGGCGUAUACAACGAGUUGCCAACCUGCGAAGGUGAGCUAAUCUCUUAAAGUACGUCUCAGUUCGGACUGCAGUCUGCAACUCGACUGCACGAAGUCGGAAUCGCUAGUAAUCGCGGAUCAGCACGCCGCGGUGAAUACGUUCCCGGGUCUUGUACACACCGCCCGUCACACCAUGGGAGUUUGUAAUGCCCAAAGCCGGUGGCCUAACCUUCGGGAGGGAGCCGUCUAAGGCAGGACUAGAUGACUGGUGUGAAGUCCUAUACGACGUGAGUUGC
rnacentral:rRNA from 1 species